ensembl:lncRNA
GAACAUCGGAACAAGUACAUUUUAUGGGAAAAAAAGAAAGUCGUUAACUUCAAGAGAGAAAACGAAAGAGAGGCUGGUGAGGGAAACGACCGUUUACAGCUGCCGUGACAAGAAAGAUGCCUAGGGUUCCUGCUUACCUGCGUGAACAUGACAUAGGCCUGCUGCAGGGAGGCAUGAGGACUGCAGAUGUGUCCAGAGAAAUAUACUGCAAUGUCUGUAAUGUAAGACGCCUAAGACGGUGCUACAGGGAGACAGGAAGGACAGCUGAUCGUCCUUGCAGUGGAAAAUUACAUGUAACCGUGCGUCCCCCCAGACACGAUGCCUUGGUGGAAGGGUGGAGGAACAUCUCACAGCAAGAACUGACCAAUCUGGUGCAGUCCAUGAGGAUGAGAUGCACUGUAGUACUUAAAGCAGCUGGAGUCCACCAGAUACUGACUGUUAAUUUUAAUAUUGACCCCCCCUUUGUUCAGGGACUCAUUAUUCCAUUUCUGUUCGCCAAAUGUCUGUGAAACUUGUUCAGUUUACGUCUCAGUUCUUG